rnacentral:misc_RNA from 1 species
AUUAUUGCAACAUUUGGGAAAACCUCAUCAAAGCUCGACCAGAUUGGACGUGUUAAUUCAAACACCAGUUGAAGCCAAACUACAUGCUCAUAUACAAGUGCAAAAUCUUAUGGAUACAAUGGCUUUUCAGGUUUCAAACAGCCUUUAGCAGCAUGCUGCAGAUAUGGUGGGCUGCCUUAAAUUACAACAGCCGCAGAUUGCUCACCGGGAAACCAAGAAUUUGAAUUGCAGCACAGUGACUGCAAAUCGCUGCAACAAUACUACUGAAUACGUGAAUUGGGGUGGAAAACAUUAUGGCAAAUGCGAAGAUCACAAAAAUUCAUAAGAAG